AAACUCACAAGUUUCUUUUUUAUAUUUGAAGUAUUUGUACAUGUUAUAAUUUUUUAUAUUUAAUACUUAUUCAAGUUUUUGUUGUUUUGUUUCUUGUCGAGUAAGCCUGUUGCACUCACCAUAAUUGAGGUUAUUCAGGAGUUCUAUAAACAUUCUUGGAAGACUUUUGGAGAACUUUAAAGGACGGAUAAGAAAUUGUAUAAAACUUGGUUUGACAAAUUUCAGGUAUAAUUUUUCUCUUCAUUUUAAGUAAUAUUUUUUUUU
rnacentral:lncRNA from 1 species